rnacentral:rRNA from 1 species
UACGCAGGGUGCAAGCGUUAAUCGGAAUUACUAGGCGUAAAGGGUGCGUAGGCGGUUAUUUAAGUCUGCCGUGAAAUCCCCGGGCUCAACCUGGGAAUGGCGGUGGAUACUGGAUAGCUAGAGUGUGUCAGAGGAUGGUGGAAUUCCCGGUGUAGCGGUGAAAUGCGUAGAGAUCGGGAGGAACAUCAGUGGCGAAGGCGGCCAUCUGGGACAACACUGACGCUGAAGCACGAAAGCGUGGGGAGCAAACAGG